AUCGAACGCUGGCGGCAGGCCUAACACAUGCAAGUCGAACGAGUGGCGGACGGGUGAGUAAUGUCUGGGAUACUGCCUGAUGGAGGGGGAUAACUACUGGAAACGGUAGCUAAUACCGCAUACCAUCAGAUGUGCCCAGCUGGGAUUAGCUUGUUGGUGGGGUAACGGCUCACCAGGGCGACGAUCCCUAGCUGGUCUGAGAGGAUGACCGGCCGAACUGGAACUGAGACACGGUCCAGACGCCUACGGGAGGCAGCAGUGGGGAAUAUUGCGCAAUAGGCGCAAGCCUGAUGCAGCGAUGCCGCGUGUAUGAAGAAGGCCUUCGGGUUGGAAAGUACUUUCGGCGGGGAGGCGUUACCCGCAGAAGAAGCACCGGCUAACUCCGUGCCAGCAGCCGCGGUAAUAC
rnacentral:rRNA from 1 species